CAGGGCCACAAAACCCCAGACAACUUUGCUCCAAGGAUCAUUGGGACGCACAAACUCUUCCACCACGAUAAGCUGGGCUAAGCUCCAGCACUCCCUCGUGCGACCCUUGUGAGGAUAAGCGGCUCAGAAACUAGAUGGAUGGAUAAUGAACCACAUUCCUGCCUGAUGUCAGACUCCUCAAGGAGGUUUUCAGCCCACACGAGUGUCAUGGAAGGAUGCGUCCCGUCACGGAUCCAGCUGCCGGGCCCUGCUGCGUAUACGUCGCCAUAUUGACCCAGGAAACAGAUUGGCACCAAAUACGCACUGACGUGUAAUUUUCUUUCUUUCCCUGUGGCACCACUUGAAGUAUUCAAGCCGCCACGUGGAUGAAGUGAGUCCAUCGGCCGCCCUUUUCAAAUACUGUACAUCCAUCUAAAUGGUGGCUCCUCUUAGCUAAAUAAAAUGGUGGCGCUUUCCCCCCCGACCCGAUGCUGAGAACUCACUCUGUGUUAACAAUGUAACGUAGGCCUUUUUGGAUGCUUUAUCAAUACAAAUUGAAAACGGUGUCCAACAGGGGUCAAUCAUAAACAAUGCUGGACUUUACUCCAUUUGUCAACAGUCAAAGAAUAUAUUUUGGC